rnacentral:rRNA from 1 species
AUUGAACGCUGGCGGCAUGCCUUACACAUGCAAGUCGAACGGCAGCACGGGUGCUUGCACCUGGUGGCGAGUGGCGAACGGGUGAGUAAUAUAUCGGAACGUACCUUAUUGUGGGGGAUAACGCAGCGAAAGAUGUUCUAAUACCGCAUAAUCCCUACGGGGGAAAGCGGGGGACCGUAAGGCCUCGCGCAUUUAGAGCGGCCGAGACCUGAUUAGCUAGUUGGUGAGGUAAAGGCUCACCAAGGCAACGAUCAGUAGCUGGUCUGAGAGGACGAUCAGCCACACUGGGACUGAGACACGGCCCAGACUCCUACGGGAGGCAGCAGUGGGGAAUUUUGGACAAUGGGGGCAACCCUGAUCCAGCAAUGCCGCGUGAGUGAAGAAGGCCUUCGGGUUGUAAAGCUCUUUUGUCAGGGAAGAAACAGCAGCUCUAACACAGUUUGCGAAUGACGGUACCUGAAGAAUAAGCACCGGCUAACUACGUGCCAGCCGCCGCCGUAA